GUUCUUCCUGAAAUCCAACGGCACAAAUGGCAUGGCCCUGUCACCUCUGACAGCUGCGGCCGUGCCACAGUGACCUGUGCUGGCCUCGCAGACUGUAGGAAGUGCAAAUCGAGUCAGCCUUGGUGGAUGAGCAGAGGUGAUCCACGUGGGAGGGCAGGGGAUUUGCAAUACCUGUUGUCUCUUCAGCUCUUCAGUCUGCUGAGUGAAUGUAUGUUUGCCUCGAGUUAGCUGAGAAAUCAAGGACUCUUUCUCCUCCAGUUGCCGAGUUUCUAUGACUGCCACCAGGAGGAGAUCCUACAUUCUGAAUUUUGUUCGGAUCACCAAGUGAUGAAUAUGUUACAAAACACACG